GUAGCUAGUCUAACCUUCGGGGGGACGGUUACCACGGUGUGAUUCAUGACUGGGGUGAAGUCGUAACAAGGUAGCCGUAGGGGAACCUGCGGCUGGAUCACCUCCUUAAUCGACGAC
rnacentral:rRNA from 1 species